GAUGAACGCUGGCGGCGUGCCUAAUACAUGCAAGUCGAGCGAACAGACGAGGAGCUUGCUCCUCUGACGUUAGCGGCGGACGGGUGAGUAACACGUGGAUAACCUACCUAUAAGACUGGGAUAACUUCGGGAAACCGGAGCUAAUACCGGAUAAUAUAUUGAACCGCAUGGUUCAAUAGUGAAAGACGGUUUUGCUGUCACUUAUAGAUGGAUCCGCGCCGCAUUAACUAGUUGGUAAGGUAACGGCUUUCCAAGGCAACGAUGCGUAGCCGACCUGGUCGGGGGGAUGGCCCACACUGGACCUGAAAGCGGUCCCUACUCCCAAGGGACGGAGACGCUAGGUAUCCUCCCGAAAUGGGCAAAAGCCUGCAGAACAACCGCCGGUAAAAUAUGGAGGUCUUUGGGUUCGUAAACCCCUUUAUUAGGGAAGAACAAAUGUGUAAGUAACUAUGCACGUCUUGACGGUACCUAAUCAGAAAGCCACGGCUAACUACGUG
rnacentral:rRNA from 1 species